GAUGAACGCUGGCGGCGUGCCUAAUACAUGCAAGUCGAGCGAAUGGAUUAAGAGCUUGCUCUUAUGAAGUUAGCGGCGGACGGGUGAGUAACGCGUGGGAACCUGCCCAUAAGACUGGGAUAACUCCGGGAAACCGGGGCUAAUACCGGAUAACAUUUUGAACCGCAUGGUUCGAAAUUGAAAGGCGGCCUCGGCUGUCACUUAUGGAUGGACCCGCGUCGCAUUAGCUAGUUGGUGAGGUAACGGCUCACCAAGGCAACGAUGCGUAGCCGACCUGAGAGGGUGAUCGGCCACACUGGGACUGAGACACGGCCCAGACUCCUACGGGAGGCAGCAGUAGGGAAUCUUCCGCAAUGGACGAAAGUCUGACGGAGCAACGCCGCGUGAGUGAUGAAGGCUUUCGGGUCGUAAAACUCCGUUGUUAGGGAAGAACAAGUGCUAGUUGAAUAAGCUGGCACCUUGACGGUACCUAACCAGAAAGCCACGGCUAACUACGUGCCAGCCGCCGCGGUAA
rnacentral:rRNA from 1 species